rnacentral:lncRNA from 1 species
CUAUCAAAUUCUAUCUGUUCUUUAUUAAGGAUUGAGUUGAGAAAGAAAAGAGACCGGGCAGCGUCCUGUGUGAACCUUUAUUGCAUUCUUUUCUUCAAUGAGACAAGUAAGCUCCGUUAAGCGAAGUUGUGCAAAGGAUGCUUCUGAUCUUGUGAACUUGCUUGCGCCAACAAAUACAGAUGAAAACAGGAACUAUAAGCUGUUAAGGAAACAAUGACUUAAGGGCACAGGACUAAUACCAACCCGAGUACUCUCCUCUGGCAACUGGCAAUACUGACUUUGCUGGCAAUACUGUAUACUUGUUUUCUUCCUUGACUCUAUUAAAUAGUAUAGUCGUAGCUUGCCUGUUAGCAAUGAUGAACUUCAAGUCGAGUGUCUCACUCCGGCUCAUCUCAUCUCUUUGAACUCCGUUAGUGCUUCCUUUCCAGUGUCAUCUGUCUUUGUCGGGUUUUGCAAGGGAAGCAGUUAGAUCUGUGGAGCUUCUGUAGAUCUAUAAAAAAGGUAUUUCUUGCCCGCAUCUAGUACUAAGCUCAGAAUGAAGAAUUGUUGCCCUUAUAUUAAGUUGCUAGAUGAGCCUAAUUCCGUUAAUGCCAGCAGCUUGUUGAAAUAAGUGUGCCUUGUUAUGCGUUUGUACUAUUGGGCACUGGACUUGGUAAUUUAUGACUCCUAUACUAUUGGCUGAUAUAGAUAAAGUGGUCGACUCUCCUUCUGAAGCUGAUUGGUAAUAAAACAAGAAAAGUUCUGUUAUAUUGCAUUUGAGCCUACUAAUUGAGUAGCCCGGUAAUCCUGUUCGAGUGAGAGUGUGAGUUUCAUCCGUUCUCCUAUAAUAUAAUAUAAUCGAAAUGGAAAGGGUUUUCUUAUACUUAGUGUCUACUGAGUCGGUAUUGCUACUGUUGCUAAGGAGUCAAAUAAAGACUUGUUGCUACUAUAUGCCUACUGUUGCUGCUGCUAAAGAA